AACAGGAUUAGAUACCCUGGUAGUCCACGCCGUAAACGAUGAGUGCUAAGUGUUGGGGGCUUUCCGGCCCUCGGUGCUGGAGCUAACGUAUUAAGCACUCCGCCUGGGGAUUACGACCGCAAGGUUGAAACUCAAAAGAAUUGACGGGGACCCGCACAAGCGGUGGAGCAUGUGGUUUAAUUCGAAGCAACGCGAAGAACCUUACCAGCUCUUGACAUCUUCUGACAACUCUAGUGAUAGAGCGUUCCCUUCGGGGACAGAAUGACAGGUGGUGCAUGGUUGUCGUCAGCUCGUGUCGUGAGAUGUUGGGUUAAGUCCCGUAACGAGCGCAACCCUUGUUGUUAGUUGCCAGCAUUAAGUUGGGCACUUUAACGAGACUGCCGGUGAUAAACCGGAGGAAGGCGGGGAUGACGUCAAAUCAUCAUGCCCCUUAUGAGCUGGGCUACACACGUGCUACAAUGGAUGGUACAACGAGCAGCGAUCCCGCAAGGGCUAGCUAAUCUUUCAAAGCCAUUCUCAGUUCGGAUUGCACUCUGCAACUCGAGUGCAUGAAGUCGGAAUCGCUAGUAAUCGCGAAUCAGAAUGUCGCGGUGAAUCCGUUCCCGGGUCUUGUACACACCGCCCGUCACACCACGAGAGUUUGAAACACCCGAAGUCGGCCGGCCAACCCUAUGGGAGGCAGCCGUCGAAGGUGGGUUGAAUGAUUGGGGUGAAGUCGUAACAAGGUAACC
rnacentral:rRNA from 1 species